rnacentral:rRNA from 1 species
UACGAAGGGGGCUAGCGUUGCUCGGAAUCACUGGGCGUAAAGCGCACGUAGGCGGAUUGUUAAGUCAGGGGUGAAAUCCUGGAGCUCAACUCCAGAACUGCCUUUGAUACUGGCGAUCUCGAGUCCGGGAGAGGUGAGUGGAACUGCGAGUGUAGAGGUGAAAUUCGUAGAUAUUCGCAAGAACACCAGUGGCGAAGGCGGACUCACUGGCCCGGAACUGACGCUGAGGUGCGAAAGCGUGGG